rnacentral:rRNA from 1 species
GUCCUUUAGAAAAUAAUUUAAGGUCUAAUCUGCCCACUGAAAAUUUAAAGGGCCGCAGUAUAUUGACUGUGCAAAGGUAGCAUAAUCAUUAGUUUUUUAAUUAAAAGCUUGUAUGAAAGAUUGGACGAGGUAAAUUCUGUCUCUUUAUAGUAAAUAGAAUUUAAUUUUUAAGUUAAAAAGCUUAAAUUUUAAUAAAAGACGAGAAGACCCUAUAGAUCUUUAUAUAUUUAAUUAUAAAUUUAAUUAAGAAUAUUUAAUGUUUUAUAAUUUAAUAUAAUUUAUUGGGGUAAUAGAAAGAUUUAUUUAAUUCUUUUUAUAUUUUUACAUUAAUUUAUGAAUAUUUGAUCCAAUAAUUUUGAUUAAAAGAUUAAGUUACCUUAGGGAUAACAGCGUAAUUUUUUUAAAGAGUUCAUAUCGAUAAAAAAGUUUGCGACCUCGAUGUUGGAUUAAAAAUUAUCUUAGGUGCAGAAGUUUAAGAUUUUGGUCUGUUCGACCAUUAAAUUUUUACA